AAACAGCGCACUAAGAUCCGAUAAAAAAUUAAGGAAUUAAUUAGGGAUAAUUUGAAAAAUACUCUACUAAUAGUUUAAAAUUUGAAAAUUACACCUUAUUUUUUAAUUUUUGUAAACUACACUUUGUUAAAUGUGAAAAUACAUUUUUAUCCAAGUUAAUUAUUUGAAUAAAUAAAAUAUAAAUAAAAUACAAAUAAAAAUUCAAAACUAUUAAUAUUAUUAUUUAUGUUUAUGUUUAAAAUAAAUAUAUAUUUGAGAUAAAUAUGUUAUUUUACUAUUUAGAAUUUUAUAAUAACAAUAGUAUUAUGAAAUUAAUAAAUAAUGAUGGUUGUGGUUUCAUAAAGUUUAUCUGUGUAAUUUUUUUUAUUUUUUAAUCUUAUAUAAAGAAGUUGUCUGGUAUUUCUCAUUCUCUAUAGAAAAACUCACGUUUUUUAUACAAACAUAUUCUUUUUACUCUCCAAAAACUCUAGCUAUAUGCAUCAUGUUCUUUAAUUUCUUUUUAAAAAGGAACACAACAGAACUGUUUUCAGAACAAAAAACAAGUAGAAUCAGAAACCUAAAUCUGAUUUUGAAAUCAUCAAAAAAUCAAUUUGAUUUUAUAAUCUUAAGAUAACUAUAAAAAGUGAGAUGUUAUAGUUGUAGAGUUGAAAUCAAUGUUUGAAUAGAAAAAGACAAAUAUGUAAAUGAGAAGAGGAAUAGAAAGUAUGAAACUUGAGAAAAAAGCUUUUAAAAAUGGAGAAUAAAAGGUCAUGGAGAAAAAGACGCAGGAGACAUCGUUUGUUUUCUUUUUUUAAAAGUAAAAAUUUAAGAUAUAGUUAAAAAGAUAUUUCGUAGAUAUUUUUUUUAAAAUCUUGUUCUUUUUGAAUCUGUUAAUUUAAACAGUAAAUAAAUUAUGAUGAGACAGUAAAUUGAUAAUAAUAUUAAAUAUUCAUAUAGGAUAAUUUAGUAAAUUCAUAUAUGCAAAAGUGUAUUUUUCAAAAACUUUAAAUACUAGUGUAGUUUUCAAAUUAGCUAGAAUUUCAUAUAAAUGUAUUUUUCCAAAAUUUCCCAAUUAAUUAUACAUGCGUGAUUAUUGAUUUAUACUUUAAAUUAUCUUUUGGUAAACAGAAGUCAGGGCCAAUACGGAAUCGAAACCCUUUUUGCUCGUUUCGUGUCACCAAACAAGCAAGCACUAUUCCUCUCUAAACCUGAAAGCUGACGGCCGUCACAUUUUUGCGGUCGCCAGACCACCUUUUUAAAAAUCGUUAUUCUUUUCUUUUUUGUUCAAGUUGUUUUCUAGGUUUUUAUGCGGAUUUGGAGAAACUUCAACAAUGGUCUCAGUUUUGGUAGUCUUCGUGCAGAUUUGAUGGUCUAUUCAGCAUAUAGUUGUGGGGUACAGUUUUGUUUGAGCGUCUCUUUUCCUGCUUUCCUUCGAAUAUCUAUCGAGCAUAAGAUUUUUUUUUGAGUUACAUGUGUUCGGGUUGUUCUGGCGUUCCUUCGCAAGUAGUUAUGAAAUGAAAUAUAUUAGGCUCUAACUGAUACCGAUUAAACGAAUACUAAGAAUGAGAAAAAAAUGAAUGAAAAGGGAAAAAAAUGAAGAAAAUAUAUUCCUUUAUCAAAAAUGUUAAGGAAUCAUAGGUAAUAGAUAUUCAUUGUAAAUGGUAUAAAAUUGUAAUGAAUGAUAAUGAAUUCACUAUUUUCACUCAUUCCCUUAGUCACCAUUUAGUUUUCUUGGUAUUGGGUGGAACCAUUUUGUGGAAAUGGAUCAUAUUUCAUUUUGGGACUGGUUUUGAUUAUAUUGUCUCUUUUGUUUGGUCUGCGUUUUUUUCAUGGUGAUUUUUAAUAUGAAUAGUCAAUCCUGACUAUAUGUAAGAUUUGUAUUUUGUAGUUAAACCUCGUUCAAAGGUAACUUAAGUAAAGCUAACUCAGAAAAAAUUGAUGAAUGCAAUUAAAGAAGAAUACUUAUUUAAACUAUCAAAACUAUUCUCAUGUUGAAGUAGAGAUGACAAUUUGAAACCUGGACCAUUGGCCUGGUCCGUGAAGGAUUGUUGCGGGGCUGAUUUGGGCAUGGGUUUCUACGCCCGAAAAGUAAGCGGGUCUCGCAAGUACGUGUCAUGCGGUAUUGGGCUUUCAGCAGGAUGGACAUCACUUGGACCUGAAGGAUAGUAAAGACCUGCAGGAUAGUAAAGACCCGCUUCACCGAAAGAAUCGUUUACAUUUUCACCUGAAAAAAGAAAUGAGAGAGAGAGAGAGCGAUGAUGGUGACUUGGCUUCGAUCUUCACCAGCAACCUAUGGAGCUCUGGUGAUGGUGGUUCGAUGGUCGUCGAAGCUUCCGGUCUCUCAUGCGUCUUUGAUCUGAUUCUUCUUCUGAUAAUCCCUUCGUAUUUCAUCUGCAGAAGAGGAGCUUCACCGACAACUCAUAUGAACUUUGUCGACUGUUUCUUCUCCAACAACCUCCGAUGAAGAUUGCACCUUAGACGCCGAUCUCCAAGAUCAGGAAAUCAUUGCUCAAGCUGAUAGAGAAGAUCAUAGAACUCAAAAACCUUGAAGAUGCAUAUGGUUCCAAACUCAACUUACGAAUAUAUUUUUACUGCAAUUCUUCAGUUCUAUUUAGGACCAGACAAGCAUACGUUAGUUUGAAUGAAGUUACAUGCUAAGAAGAAUUGAUAAUGUUGUGACUUGUUUUUGGAGGGAAUGAAGUUGUAUCGUGUUCCGUGGGCCGGCUCGCAAAAGCUCAUGUUAAUUACAGGGCGGGAUUGGUCAUGCCCUAACGAGACUGCGGUACCAAACAGGACAACGCACAGAGACCCGCUGGAACUGAAGACCGCUGCGGAACGGAAGACGGGCAAACCUGCGUGCCAUCUCUAGGUUGAAGGUAUUAGAAAUGGGUCGGCUAUUGUUGAAACUGAACAUCUAAUGUCAUCAGUUAUAUUUGCCUUUGCUGUUUUCUGGUAUAGAAAAACCACUAAUUUUUAUUAUUGUUUUGUUAUAUUCUUGAUGUAAUAUGUUUCAAAUCAGUGUUUGAAAAACAAAAACAAAAACAAGCAAUCACAGUCUUGUAAUUAAGACCUAAGUUAAUAGUAUUAAGCAACACUCCAAUU